rnacentral:rRNA from 1 species
GCGGACGGGUGCGUAACGCGUGGGAAUGUACCUAUUGGUUCGGAACAACUGAGGGAAACUUCAGCUAAUACCGGAUGAGCCCGAAAGGGGAAAGAUUUCUCGCCAAUAGAUCAGCCCGCGUCCGAUUAGCUAGUUGGUGGGGUUAAAGCCUACCAAGGCGACGAUCGGUAGCUGUUCUGAGAGGAAGAUCAGCCACACUGGGACUGAGACACGGCCCAGACUCCUACGGGAGGCAGCAGUUGGGAAUCUUGGACAAUGGGGGAAACCCUGAUCCAGCCAUGCCGCGUGAGUGAUGAAGGCCUUCGGGUUGUAAAAUCUUUCGACGGGGACGAUAAUGACGGUACCCGUAGAAGAAGCUCCGGCUAACUUCGUGCCAGCAGCCGCGGUAAUACGAAGGGGGCUAGCGUUGUUCGGAAUUACUGGGCGUAAAGCGCGCGCAGGCGGUCUUCCAAGUCAGUGGUUGAAAGCCCGGAGCUCAAUCCGGAACUGCCAUUGAAACUGUGAGACUUGAGGUACGAGAGAGGUGAGUGGCAUUUCCCAAGUGUAGAGGUUGAAAAUU